rnacentral:piRNA from 1 species
UAGUAAGGAUUUGUGGAUGACUCACAGUC